AAGGGAGACCUAAUUCGGGUAUAAGACGAAAAAAGAGUAGUCGAAACCAAGAAUCAAUCCCAAAAGGUCGGAACGAGGUAUGUGGCUUUCAAACUAGGUUCUGGGUUCACACAAGACCUGAAUCAGGAACAAGGGCUAUUAGCUCAGGUGGUUAGAGCGCACCCCUGAUAAGGGUGAGGUCCCUGGUUCGAGUCCAGGAUGGCCCACCUGCACAGGUGGCAAAAACAAAGAAGCGGGGAAUCAGCACCUUAUCUUAUCUAUAUAUAAGAGAGAAUGCUGGCUCUGAGUAAAGAGUCCAGAGGAACCUUGAAAACUGCAUAGAGCUAGGUGAAAAAGCCAAAAAAGAAGACCGCAA
rnacentral:tRNA from 1 species